CCCAACAAGCAACAAGGCCCUAGCAAAGUUCCAGCAGGCAAAAUCUCUCCCUCUCUCUGCACCUUUCCACAAGCUCGUAUUGCGGAAGUUUCUGUCUAAAGUUUUCCAAAAUAUACCUGUCGAACAAGUUGUCUUAAAUGUACUUCUCAGUUUAGCUAAUCAUCUACUUUCAUCUAGUUAUCAGAUUCAACAUACUUUGAUUCUAUAUCCUUCUUCAUCUCCUAGGGAAUCACAAAUAGAUAAUUUCUUCCACAAGCAAAGCAAUGGGUAAAUGAUUAGAUAGAAAAUCACCUGAUUAUGCAACAGCAUCACAACAUUGAAACACACACUCUCGGUGCUUCAAAAACUGGAAACAAGAAUAAGAAUCUCGUUCUGACUUGGGCCAGACAUAACAGGAUAUGAACUCUUCGAUAACCUAUAAACUUGCUGAGAACCUGAAAGAACGCACAUACGCAAAUUAAACUAACACGAAAUUACUAAAAGGGAGAACAGACAUAAAUUUCAGACUAGUAAUUUGCAUAUAACGAAUGUCAUGACCGAUGAUAAGGAUAAAGAAGUUGGAUUAAAACUAUUGCAUAACUUCUACCGAUUUAACUAGUACUUGAACUUGAUGAUGAGGUUAUGACCGUCACUAUGUAAUUUGGCGUGAAAUAAGAAACCGCACGCAAAGCCCGCCUCACCUCUCCGCUAGCCUGCGUGCUUUUAGGGAUGGUAGUGCCGUAGUGGGGUGGGGGUGGGGAGGCCUGCCCAUUCCCCCGUCAUAUUAAAAAUUUCGUUUCCAUUUUUCAUUUCAUCUCCUAAGAUGAAAAUAGAGAAUCCGAAUUCUCC
rnacentral:lncRNA from 1 species